ensembl:lncRNA
CCUAGUGCUAAUGCACUGGCUGACUUUGGGGAUUCAUGGCUCACAGACAUAGGGUGUUUCCUUCAGACAUAGGGUGUUUCCUUCCCUCAGGAGUCCAGCUGAGAACAGAGAAGUGGCAAAAGGUACCCCAGGUACCAACCUGGACUUGUUUUUUCCCUCUUCCGCAUUGGCAAGCAAAGUUUUCAUUUCCCACCUCACCCACACGUGACUCGCACCUGAGCUAAAUUGCCAGCUAACAUCACCCUCCAGGAAGUCCAAGGUCCUCACACCACUCUGCCUCCCCUUCAGAAUCCAGACCGCAGCCCUUGCUAGCGCUUGAAUCCGAACCAGACUUCUGAAUUAUCACAGAGACUUUUGAAGCUCACCAAUGGGGAAAGUUCUGCCCCUUCUCCUCUUCUCCUUCAUCUUCCACCGCUCCACUUUCAGCUCUGAAGCAGGUGGAUUCGGAGAUGAAGUCAGAGACAAUAUUCAGACUGAGGAUCUUGAAAAAUGGGAAAUGCGGUUGAUGGGGAAAAGAGGAAGAUAGAAAAGGCCAGAAAGCAGCACUUGAUUCCAGACAUACAAGAGAUCUCAAGAUGGACGAGUCUCCUGCCAUCAGUGACACACAAAGAAGGAAUCCCAGCACAGACACAAUGAACACAAGCACAGAAGAAAGGACUGAAUCUGUUUUUUCAACUUCCAUACUGGAAAAAACGAUUUCCCCCUCACCCGACAUCAGCAGUGCAACUGAGUACACCAUCUCAGAGUCCACUGAUGCCAGCAAUGUCCCAGGGUUUACAAGCACACCACCAGAAGAAACAACUUUUCUCCUCAGCUGUCACCAGCAGCACAACCGAAGACAUCACCUCAGAGUCUACUGAUGUCAACACCGUAUCAACUUUUACAAGCGUGGCACCAGAGGACACAACUUUUUCCUCACCAGUCACCAGUAGUGCAACUGAGAACAUCACCCCAGAGUCCACAGAUGUCAGCACCAUCUCAACUUUCACAAGCAUGGCACCAGAGGACACAACUUUCUCCUCAGCAGUCACCAGCAGCACAACUGAGAACGUCACCCCAGCGUCCACUGAUGCCAGCACCAUCUCAGCUUUCACGAGCGUGGCACCAGAGGACACAACUUUUUCUUCACCUGACACACAAAGCACAACUGAAUUCAUCACCUCAGAGUCCACUGAUGUGAACACCGUAUCAACUUUUACAAGCGUGGCACCAGAGGACACAACUUUUUCCUCACUAGUCACCAGUAGUGCAACUGAGAACAUCACCCCAGAGUCCACUGAUACCAGCACCAUCUCAACUUUCACAAGCGUGGCACCAGAGGACACAACUUUUUCUUCACCUGACACACAAAGCACAACUGAAUUCAUCACCUCAGAGUCCACUGAUGUGAACACCGUAUCAACUUUUACAAGCGUGGCACCAGAGGACACAACUUUUUCCUCACCAGUCACCAGCAGCACAACUGAGAACGUCACCCCAGAGUCCACUGAUGCCAGCACCAUCUCAGCUUUCACAAGCGUGGCACCAGAGGACACAACUUUUUCCUCACCAGUCACCAGCAGUGCAACCGAAGACAUCACUUCAGAGUCCACUGAUGCCAGCACCAUCUCAACUUUCACAAGCGUGGCACCAGAGGACACAACUUUUUCCUCACCAGUCACCAGCAGUGCAAUCGAAGACAUCACUUCAGAGUCCACUGAUGCCAGCACCAUCUCAACUUUCACAAGCUUGGCACCAGAGGACACAACUUUUUCCUCACCAGUCACCAGUAGUGCAACCGAAGACAUCACUUCAGAGUCCACUGAUGCCAGCACCAUCUCAACUUUCACAAGCUUGGCACCAGAGGACACAACUUUUUCCUCACCAGUCACCAGCAGCACAACUGAGAACGUCACCCCAGAGUCCACUGAUGCCAGCACCAUCUCAGCUUUCACAAGCGUGGCACCAGAGGACACAACUGUCUCCUCACCAGUCACCAGCAGCACAACCAAAGACAUCACCUCAGAGUCCACUGAUGCCAACACCGUAUCAACCUUUACAAGCGUAGCACUAGAGGACACAACUUUCUCCUCACCAGUCACCAGCAGCACAACUGAGAACGUCACCCCAGAGUCCACUGAUGCCAGCACCUUCUUAACUUUCACAAGCAUGGCACCAGAGGAUACAAACUUUUUCCUCUACAGUCACCAGCAGCGCAGCAGAGAACGUCACCUCAGAGUCCUCAACAUAUAUUACCUCCACCACAACAAUUGUCAUCAGUAA